GCGCCCGUAGCUCAACUGGAUAGAGCAUCUGACUUCGGAUCAGAAGGUUUGGGGUUCGAAUCCCUACGGGCGCACCA
rnacentral:tRNA from 1 species